UGUUUUCUUUUUUGCAGCUAAGGAUGUUUUUGCUCGGAUACAGUGCGGGCUGACCCGAGGUCGGCGGAGCAACAGGCGGGCGGGUAGGGCUGCGCCAGGGGGCCACGGCUGGGUCAGGAGGACCCGGAGGAAGGGGCAGACACCCGGGACCUUUGCUCUCGUCCUCCACGCCAAGCCCAGACAUCGGCCCACCCCAGGAGUGGGGGGAAAUGAUGAAAGGCGUGACGCGCUUAACCUGCAAACAGGAGGUGUGUUGCAUGACACACCCCCCCCACACACACACAAGCACCCCAGCACCAACCGCACGGAAAAGGGAGAAGCAGAGCAAUAGUAUGUCCUUCAGGCGAAAGUUGGAAACAUUCUAACAGGCUCCAACAACUCUGCUUGAUUUUUCCUGUUAUUCUGAACUUUAACAGAGAUUUUGGAUCAGGAACAGAGACAAUGCCAGGAAUUGCUCUCACAAAGCUGCAGAUGAUUCACAAAGAUCAGAACCCUCAGGCUGGUCCCUACAGCCGGUCCCGCCUCCCCGUGGUCCCUGGGGAGCACUAGCUCGGGACAAACCUGGGCACAAACCUUCCGGAAA